rfam:Triticum aestivum genome assembly, contig: Triticum_aestivum_CS42_TGACv1_scaffold_094149_2AL
CAUGUACUCCCUUCGUCCGGAAUUACUUGUCAUUAAAAUAGAUGUGUCUAGAACUAAAAUACAUCUAGAUACAUCCAUUUCAAUGAUAAGUAUUUUCGGACGGAGGGAGUAUAUG